ACCGCCCCUCGUUCGUGAGUGCAGAAAAGCGAACGGUAGUAAGCUACAAAGCAAGCCCCUGCGUUCUGUUAAUCACAUCGCACAGCAAAAAUAAUGAAGUGAAGUACAGCGGGGAUGCCGCAGGCCUCCUGCGAGUGACACUGCCCGGCCACAGCAAGCAGGCAGACAUCCAUCCAACAAUUCCUCCCAGAAAGAAGUGUCCCCAUCACUAUCAUUUCCUUUCGGCGGUGGUAACGAUACCGUCAGAUAGAGGGAACUGCCCCGAUGGGCAGCAAAACCCCCUGUGGAGGGCUGCAGGGACAGAGCCGGCCGUGUUCUGCGGCGCUGCCCGCGGGCACCUCGGAGUGCGGAGCAGCGAGAACGGAAAGCUUCGCUGCGAAUCUCACCUGAGCUUCCCCAGCCGGGGCACGUCGGGCCGCUCACCUCUCCUUCACAUUCUGGAUCAAAUCCUUCCCGUCUUGAUCCAGCGAAGAUAUCAUUAUUUAAAAUAAUCCUGUGAUAGACGUGAACACGGCGUAACUUAUCUUGACAGCACACCUAGAACACAAAUCGGUGCCAGGAAUGAACUGGCUCCGGUCCAGUUUCCAAACCUCGCCUUUCAGACCUCGUUACAGUUACUCUCUAGUAAUGCGGGGGUGGAUUUGUUUGUAGCUCAGCCCGGGCUGCCACGGGCACCGCACCAUUCCCGGUACCGACGGCAGCGCCGUGAGGGCAGCGCUGGUCGGACGGCUGUGAGCGGGGCAAUAAGAAACUUCUCGGGAAACCUCGCCAGCUUAAACUAAAGCAGGUAAAGCGUGACAUCCAGCUUUUCUGACCCUCUGCCUUUCCAUCCCGAGCGGUGUUUUAGUACGGCUUGCAUCCACCUCGAAGCUCUGCGUAGUUUUGCGGCUACCGUGGGACACCGGACGCGUCCCGAAGGCGCCCAGCGGCGCUCCCGGGGCGGCUCACAGCCCUGCCGUCCCGCUGCGCCGCGUCCCCUCGCUCUCCCCCCACACCGCUCUCCUUCCCCGCGCUUCGCUCUGCUGUUUGCCAUCGAGCAGAGUCUGAAAAUGGUCGGGCUCUCGCCUGUUUCUCGCGAACAGAAAAACAAUAAAGGAUUCUCUCUCCUAAAGCUGGGGAAGGAG
rnacentral:lncRNA from 1 species